rfam:Myotis davidii contig58177, whole genome shotgun sequence.
AGACCCAGAGAGAGAGUCAGGGUCUGAUCCGCAGCCUCAGUGGCAGCUGUUGAUCAGUACUUGCCUCUCUCUCUUUCUCUU